CAGAGAGAGAACGGGAAGAAGAGCAGAGAAACAUGAAGCAGAGCAGAGUGAAACACAGACAGAAAACAGAGACAGAGCAAAGGUAGAGGGAGAGAGACUCAUUGAUAGAAUCAGAGGAGGACUGAAAGACACAGCAGCAGAGACAAUGAGUAGACGAUAAAAAUGCUCAAGCUGCUGCCACCCUCACACUACGCAGCAGGCUUGUUCUUGUUCACUACAGAGCACAGUUGGCAUUACAAACUGAGAAUGUUGGCACGCAGAAGUAGAAUAGCCAUCAAAAGAACAAUUGAAAAACAAACUCAAAUACAGUCACUGGAAUCACGAACGCCAGCAUGAUUAACCUUGAAUGUCAUUCACCUUUGUCCAGUUCUGCCUUGCUGAAGAUAUCCAGAAAGAAAAGCUUGGAAAUGCAGAAUGAGCUCUGCCCUGGGAGUUGUGGUCUCUGGAGAGCCCUAGCUGGAAUUCUGAGCAAAAAUCUGAGUUUUUGCUGUGGACAUCACCAACUAAGGCCUCGGUGGAACAGGCAAAGGUUAGAGAAGCAUAAGCAAAUUAAUAGACAAUGAGGAAGAAGCAGGUGCAAGAGAAAGAGGAAGACGAAGUUUUGCUCUUGUUACCCAGGCUGGAGUGCAAUGGUGAGAUCUCAGCUCACUGCAAUCUCUAUCUCCCGGGUUCAAGCAAUU
rnacentral:lncRNA from 10 species